UGCCAGCAGCCGCGGUAAGACGUAGGGGGCCAGCGUUGUUCGGAAUUACUGGGUGUAAAGGGUUCGUAGGCGGUGUGGCAAGUCGGGAGUGAAAUCUMURGGCUYAACCYAKAGRCUGCUUCCGAAACUGCUGUGCUKGAGUGUGRGAGAGGCKCGUGGAAUUGCAGGUGUAGCGGUGAAAUGCGUAGAUAUCUGCAGGAACACCCGUGGCGAAAGCGGCGMGCUGGAYCACUACUGACGCUGAGGAACGAAAGCUAGGGGAGCAAACAGGAUUAGAUACCCUGGUAGUCCUAGCCCUAAACGAUCAGGACUUGGGGUGCCGCMCGUUCGKGCGUCGUCCCGGAGCUAACGCGUUAAGUCCUGCACCUGGGGAGUACGGUCGCAAGACUGAAACUCAAAGGAAUUGACGGGGGCCCGCACAAGA
rnacentral:rRNA from 1 species